rnacentral:rRNA from 1 species
AGCGAACGCUGGCGGCAGGCCUAACACAUGCAAGUCGAACGAAGUCUUCGGACUUAGUGGCGGACGGGUGAGUAACACGUGGGAACGUGCAUUUAGGUUUGGAAUAACUCAGGGACACUUGUGCUAAUACCGUAUGUGCCCUUCGGGGGAAAGAUUUAUCGCCUUUGGAGCGGACCGCGUCUGAUUAGCUAGUUGGUGGGGUAAAGGCUCACCAAGGCUACGAUCAGGAGCUGGUCUGAGAGGAUGACCAGCCACAUUGGGACUGAGACACGGCCCAAACUCCUACGGGAGGCAGCAGUGGGGAAUCUUGCGCAAUGGGCGAAAGCCUGACGCAGCCAUGCCGCGUGGAAGAUGAAGGUCUUAGGAUUGUAAAAUCCUUUCACCGGUGAAGACAAUGACUGUAGCCGGAGACGAAGCCCCGGCUAACUUCGUGCCAGCCGCCGCAGUAAUAC